AUGGUAUGUACUGGCUUUACUGAUUCCUCCUUCUUGAAGAACUGUAAUGUCAUUAAUUUGGUGUUGCAGGGAAACAGGACUGUUACUUUGAAAAAAUUAGAGUCGUUUAAAGCAGGCUAACGCUUGAAUACAUUAGCAUGGAAUAAUGAAAUAGGACGUUCGAUCCUAUUUUGUUGGUUUCUAGGAUUGACGUAAUGAUUAAUAGGGAUAGUUGGGGGCAUUAGUAUUCAAUUGUCAGAGGUGAAAUUCUUGGAUUUAUUGAAGACUAACUACUGCGAAAGCAUUUGCCAAGGAUGUUUUCAUUAAUCAAGAACGGAAGUUAGGGGAUCGAAGACGAUCAGAUACCGUCGUAGUCUUAACCAUAAACUAUGCCGACUAGGGAUCGGAUGAUGUUAAUUUUUUAAUGACUCAUUCGGCGCCUUACG
rnacentral:rRNA from 1 species